rnacentral:rRNA from 1 species
UUGAACGCUGGCGGCAGGCCUAACACAUGCAAGUCGAACGGUAACAGGAAGAAGCUUGCUUCUUUGCUGACGAGUGGCGGACGGGUGAGUAAUGUCUGGGAAACUGCCUGAUGGAGGGGGAUAACUACUGGAAACGGUAGCUAAUACCGCAUAACGUCGCAAGACCAAAGAGGGGGACCUUAGGGCCUCUUGCCAUCGGAUGUGCCCAGAUGGGAUUAGCUAGUAGGUGGGGUAAAGGCUCACCUAGGCGACGAUCCCUAGCUGGUCUGAGAGGAUGACCAGCCACACUGGAACUGAGACACGGUCCAGACUCCUACGGGAGGCAGCAGUGGGGAAUAUUGCACAAUGGGCGCAAGCCUGAUGCAGCCAUGCCGCGUGUAUGAAGAAGGCCUUCGGGUUGUAAAGUACUUUCAGCGGGGAGGAAGGUGUUGUGGUUAAUAACCACAGCAAUUGACGUUACCCGCAGAAGAAGCACCGGCUAACUCCGUGCCAGCAGCCGCGGUAAUACGGAGGGUGCAAGCGUUAAUCGGAAUUACUGGGCGUAAAGCGCACGCAGGCGGUCUGUCAAGUCGGAUGUGAAAUCCCCGGGCUCAACCUGGGAACUGCAUUCGAAACUGGCAGGCUUGAGUCUCGUAGAGGGGGGUAGAAUUCCAGGUGUAGCGGUGAAAUGCGUAGAGAUCUGGAGGAAUACCGGUGGCGAAGGCGGCCCCCUGGACGAAGACUGACGCUCAGGUGCGAAAGCGUGGGGAGCAAACAGGAUUAGAUACCCUGGUAGUCCACGCCGUAAACGAUGUCUAUUUGGAGGUUGUGCCCUUGAGGUGUGGCUUCCGGAGCUAACGCGUUAAAUAGACCGCCUGGGGAGUACGGCCGCAAGGUUAAAACUCAAAUGAAUUGACGGGGGCCCGCACAAGCGGUGGAGCAUGUGGUUUAAUUCGAUGCAACGCGAAGAACCUUACCUGGUCUUGACAUCCACAGAACUUUCCAGAGAUGGAGGGGUGCCUUCGGGAACUGUGAGACAGGUGCUGCAUGGCUGUCGUCAGCUCGUGUUGUGAAAUGUUGGGUUAAGUCCCGCAACGAGCGCAACCCUUAUCCUUUGUUGCCAGCGGUUAGGCCGGGAACUCAAAGGAGACUGCCAGUGAUAAACUGGAGGAAGGUAGGGAUGACGUCAAGUCAUCAUGGCCCUUACGACCAGGGCUACACACGUGCUACAAUGGCGCAUACAAAGAGAAGCGAACUCGCGAGAGCAAGCGGACCUCAUAAAGUGCGUCGUAGUCCGGACUGGAGUCUGCAACUCGACUCCAUGAAGUCGGAAUCGCUAGUAAUCGUGGAUCAGAAUGCCACGGUGAAUACGUUCCCGGGCCUUGUACACACCGCC